AAACGCAGACACCAAGUGGCUUCAGCAUGAGUCAGCGGCAAACGCCCUCAAGUCAUGAGCUGGAAUGCUCAGAAACGAUAUGUACCUUCAAUCAAAUUACAAAAUUAACUGAGGGAAAAUGAGGAAGAACUUUAGGAACUGACAGCGAGAGAUCUUCAAAAUACUAUUAAAAGAAGAAAGCACUCUCGGUGUAAAAAAGUACUCUGAUGAAACAAAGUGACAGAAGACAAAAACAUGAUUUUGAAGAAGAUGGAGAAAAAUUCACGUUAAUUACCCAGUUUCUCAUUAUUCCCUAGGGCAGGUGACUUACCAAUCCCCAACUAAUAAAAAGUUUGUCCUCUCAUAAAUCUAGUGCAAAGGCAAUGGAUGAACAAGAAUCUGAAUGUGAAUCAGACCUCCUUUUCUGUUUUCUGAGACCGAGUUUCACUCUUUCGUCCAGGCUGGAGUGAAGUGGCGUGAUCUCGGCUCACAGCAACCUCUGCCCCCACGGGUACAAGCUAUUCUCCUGCCUCAGCCUUCCGAGCAGCUGGGAUUAAAGGUGCCCGCCACCACACCCGGCUAAUUUUUGUACUUUUAGCAGAGAUGGGGUUUUACCAUGUUGGCCAGGAUAGUCUCAAACUCCUGACCUCAGGUGAUCCACCCACCUCGGCCUCCCAAAGUGCUGGGAUUACAGGCGUGAGCCACUACGCCCAGCCCAGACCUCCUUCUACAAUAUGAACACCGGACAGCAUGACUGCUAUGAAGGGGGUGGAAGUCUUCAAAAUAUUUCUUUUCUUUUCUUUUUUGACAUAACAGUCUCGCUCUGUCACCCAAGCUGAAGUGCAGUGGCACAAUCUCGACUCACUACAAUCGCCACCUCCCAGGUUCAAGCGAUCCUCCCACCUCAACCUCCAAAGUAACUGGGACUACAGGAGAGUACCACCAUGCCCAGUGAAUUUUUGUAUUUUUUGUAGAGAAAGAGUUUUGCUAUGUUGUCCAGGCUGGUCUCAAACUCCUGAGCUUGAGUGAUUCGCCUGCCUCAGCCUCCCAAAGUGCUGGGAUUACAGGCGUGAGUCACUGCACCUGGCCCAAAAUAUUUCUUAAGAAAAAAACAAUUGUUUGGACAACAUGUUAUAAGUUGUGACAGCAUUUCCACAAUCCCCCGCACACUGGAUCCUGAUAAGCCACUUUAAUCUCCAGAAUAUCUGCUUCAUUCCCUGGCAAAAUUAGGUACACCUAAGAAAACUGACUUCAGUAGAUGUUUUCAAUAAUUUUGAAAACAAGGUUUGCUCAAUGAAGUUCAGUUCAGUGACUAGAUAGAACAGACCAUAUUAUGAAACAACGGAACAACAACAAAAUACUCCAAUGGAAAAAACCAUAGAAGACACACACCAAACUGACGAUUAAGGAUCAGAGAGGAAGGGAAUGACUUCUACUUUUCACUUUAAAUAAGUCUGUGCUGUUUUCGUGUCUUAAAAAUAGCAUGUCUUUAUACUAGAAAAUAAAAUAAAUGACUUUAUUAAAACAUACCCCACACAAACUUUAGUGAAUAGUAAUAUAUUAUAGUAACAAAUUUUGUAAUUAGUAACAUUAAAGUUUUUAAACGCGCAUUUCAUUCAUUCAUUCUGUAAAUGUUUAAGGAGGAACUACUAAGGGGAAGUCACAGUGUGAAAGAUUAUGCCUUCAUCAGUCUCUUCCAG